rnacentral:misc_RNA from 1 species
GAUGAAGAACGCAGCGAAAUGCGAUAAGUAAUGUGAAUUGCAGAAUUCAGUGAAUCAUCGAAUCUUUGAACGCACAUUGCGCCCGCCAGCAUUCUGGCGGGCAUGCCUGUUCGAGCGUCAUUUCAACCCUCGACUUCCCUUUGGGGAAAUCGGCGUUGGGGACCGGCCGUAUACCGCCGGCCCCGAAAUGAAGUGGCGGCCCGUCCGCGGCGACCUCUGCGUAGUAAUCCAACUCGCACCGGAACCCCGACGUGGCCACGCCGUAAAACGCCCGACUUCUGAACGUUGACCUCGGAUCAGGUAGGAAUACCCGCUGAACUUAAGCAUAUCAAUAAGCGGAGGA